AAAACCUAAACCAAAGAUAUGAGACAGAGAGAUUAGUGAU
rnacentral:guide_RNA from 1 species